AUGGCCUGGACUCCUCUCCUCCUGCUGCUCCUCGCUCUCUGCACAGGGUCCCUCUCCCAGCCUGUGCUGACCCAGCCGCCCUCCCUCUCUGCAUCUCCGGGAGCCACAGCCACACUCACCUGCACCCUGAGCAGUGGAUCCAACGUUGGCAGCUACAGGAUAUACUGGUACCAGCAGAAGCCAGGGAGCCCUCCCUGGUAUCUCCUGUACUACUACUCAGACUCCAUUAUGGACCAGGGCUCCGGGGUCCCCAGCCGCUUCUCUGGAUCCAAAGACGCCUCGGCCAAUGCGGGGCUCCUGCUCAUCUCGGGGCUGCAGCCUGAGGACGAGGCUGACUAUUACUGCAAUACAGAUAGAAGUGGGAGCAGGGACCGUUACCCACAGUGUCUCCGAGGACGAGGAAGUGUGUGCUGCGACCAGCAGGGGGCGCUGUGGGACCGCCCUGUGGUCCCAAUGCAGCUGCCCAUUAAGGACCUGAACUAA